rnacentral:tRNA from 1 species
GGGUGAUUAGCUCAGCUGGGAGAGCACCUCCCUUACAAGGAGGAGGGGGUCGGCGGUUCGAUCCCGUCAUCACCCACCA